UACGUAGGGUGCGAGCGUUAUUCGGAUUUACUGGGCGUAAAGCGUGUGUAGGUGGCGUAUUGCGUCUCCGAUUAAAGAUCCAGGCUCAACCUGGGGAAUGUUGGAGAUACGGAUAUGCUAGAGGUUUGCAGGGGCAGAUGGAAUUCCCGGUGUAGCAGUGAUAUGCGUAGAUAUCGGGAAGAACACCAAUGGCGAAAGCAGUCUGCUGGGCUUGCCCUGACACUGAGACACGAAAGCGUGGGGAGCGAACGGG
rnacentral:rRNA from 1 species